GACGAACGCUGACGGCGUGCUUAACACAUGCAAGUCGAGCGGUAAGGCCCUUUCGGGGGUACACGAGCGGCGAACGGGUGAGUAACACGUGGGUGACCUGCCCUUAGCUCUGGGAUAAGCCUGGGAAACUGGGUCUAAUACCGGAUAUGACUCCAUAACGCAUGUUGUGGGGCGGAAAGCCUUGUGCGGCUAGGGAUGGGCCCGCGGCCUAUCAGCUUGUUGGUGGGGUGAUGGCCACCAAGGCGACGACGGGUAGCCGGCCUGAGAGGGCGACCGGCCACACUGGGACUGAGACACGGCCCAGACUCCUACGGGAGGCAGCAGUGGGGAAUCUUGCGCAAUGGGCGAAAGCCUGACGCAGCGACGCCGCG
rnacentral:rRNA from 1 species